UGGGGAAUAUUGGACAAUGGGGGCAACCCUGAUCCAGCAAUGCCGCGUGUGUGAAGAAGGUCUUCGGAUUGUAAAGCACUUUCGACGGGGACGAUGAUGACGGUACCCCGUAGAAGAAGCCCCGGCUAACUUCGUGCCAGCAGCCGCGGUAAUACGAAGGGGGCUAGCGUUGCUCGGAAUGACUGGGCGUAAAGGGCGUGUAGGCGGUUUACACAGUCAGAUGUGAAAUCCCCGGGCUUAACCUGGGAGCUGCAUUUGAUACGUGUAGACUAGAGUGUGAGAGAGGGUUGUGGAAUUCCCAGUGUAGAGGUGAAAUUCGUAGAUAUUGGG
rnacentral:rRNA from 1 species